ensembl:lincRNA
AAGUCUGACUGUGAGGUCAGGUUUUUACCGUGUUUUCUCGCCUCUGUUCUCUCCUGCGAGCAAGGGCUCGUUUUAGCUCCUCUUGUUUCGCAAAGUUAGUGUUCAGACCGCCAGCUGACUCCUGGGAAGAAGCAUAAAUGGAAGCCAGUAUUCUGCUAGCAGCCUUCAGAUGAAGGUGUAGAACUCUCAGCUCCUCCUGCACCAUGCCUGCCUGGAUGCUGCCAUGUUCCUGCCUUGAUGGUAAUGGACUGAACCUCUGAACCUGGUUGAUUGUUCUAUUUCUGAGAUCUCUGAGACCCAGCCCUCCAGGAACAAACAAAUGUGGAAAUGAGACAGGCUGAGGGCUUACUAAACAGAACUCUGCAGUUCCUGCCCCAGGGUUGGACCAGUGUGUAGAAAAUUGCUUAUGGGAUUCUUUGAAUGACUUUUUCGUUGCGGGAAAUAUUAAAAAUGAACCCGCCAACUCUCCACACUCCUGCUUCUCUCAAGCCACCAACUCAAGAGCUCUGUCUCUGCCUCCUAAGUGCUGGAAUUAAAGGUAUGUGCCACCAUGCCUUGCUUGUCCUUUUAUGGACACUGAUUUUUAUCUACUUUUGAUAGCUGCUGAGGUAUGUUUAAAAUCUGAGAAUCUCUCUAGCUUUUUCAUGGUGACUAUCCAUUUUAAAUUCUCACAAAUAACAACAGAGCUUUACUUUCUCUGUGUGUUUUCCAACAUUCCUAUUACCUACUUUUAAAAAAUUAUAGUCAUCUUAGGAGAAGGGUUAUUUAGUAGGUUUUUAAAUUUUUCUCUUGGGGACCUAAGAUAAUUUUUUCUUAAGCAGGGUGUUGCAGACUUCUGCAGCUUCUGUUUAUCAACACUUUCUUUCUUUCUUUCUUUCUUUCUUUCUUUUUUUGAGACUGUGUACUACUGUGUACUGGCUGGUUUUGUGUGUCAACUUGACUCAAGCUGGAGUUAUCACAGAGAAAGGAGCUUCCCUUGAGGGAAAUGCCUCUAUGAAAUCCCAAUUAAUAAUCAAGGGGGAAGAGUCUAGCCCAUUGAGGGUGGUGCCAUCCCUGGUAGUCCUGGAUUCUAUAAAAAAGCAAGCAGCAAGCUAAGCAAACCAGGGGAAGCAAGCCAGUAAGCAGCACCCCUCCAUGGCCUCUGCAUCAGCUCCUGCCUCCGGGUUCCUGUGUGAGUUCCUGUCCUGACUUCCUUUGGUGAUGAACAGCAUGUGGAAGUGUAAGCUGGAUAAACCUUUCCUUCCAACUGCUUCUCGGCCAUAGUGUUUGUGCAGGAAUAGAAACCCUGACUAAGACAGACUGGGUCUGUACAUACCUCUGGCUGUCCAGAAACUCACUUUGUAGACCAAGCUAGCCUCAGACUUAGAGAACCGGCUGCCUCUGCCUCCCGAGUGCUGGGGUCUAAGCUGUGUGAUGCUAUGCUCGGCUGUGGGCCUGUGUACUGGGCACUUUCCACUGAGAUCUCUGGCCCGGCUGGGUGCUCGAGGCUUCAGGCAAAGGGGAGAGAGUGGGAGCAGGGAGGGAGAGUUGUCUCCACUGCCUCUGCUGCAGCAGCCGGCUCCACCUCAGUCACCUCAGUUGCUGGAGACCCUGCUGCACCAGUCACCCUGUGGUGAGUCAGGCCAGGCUAAGCCAACGAGAGGCUGAGUAGCUAGAGAAUAGUGUGAGGGGGCUUCUGGUGGCGUUUCAAGAGAGCAGACCUCUUCCCAAGUGGCAGCUCUUAGGACAGAAGCUCUCAGACGACGGAGUAGUUCUCACACACCUUUAUUCCUCCUGGAUAGGAUCCUUAGAUACAGUGUUGGGGUGCCUCAGGGUCUGACAACAGGUACUUCCCAUUGGGUGGGUUUGAGAGCUUGGGGAUAACUUAUCUUCAUGUGGGAGGGCUUGGGGUGCUGCCCCUAUGUGACUGAUGGCCACAGACCUCACUACGGGGAGUGGGGGGUGGGGGAGGGGCUGUGGGGGACUGUAGCUAUGUGACAGGAGCCAGGGGUCCAGGAGCGUGGCAAAACACCCACUGUCUCUUGCAGGCUACCCUCUGAGGGGUCACCUGUGGGGUCACCAGGGUUUUAGCCUGGGCUGGACCAGGGGCUAGGCUGCCUAUCACAGCCCACCACCCCACAAUAUAUAAUAGUAUGUAUUGUACAUAUAUAUUAUGAUAUAUAUAUAAUGCUAUAUAUAAUUUAUAUUACAUAUCAUGAGAUGUAUAUAUAUAUAUAUAUAUAUAGUCACAGAAAAAAAUGAACACAGUAACUCAAUUUCUAAAUUGUGUGGCCUCAUUUAUACCAUGCCAUAGACAUAUUUGAUUAACAAGAAAAACAUCUAUACGCAUUCCCUUUAUAUUUUCAAGUGGCUCCUUUGCCUAAAGGAGGAAGGGUAAAUUUCUAAAUUUCUUUGUAAGCUGCCAGACCAGCCUCAUCCUCAUUUCUGCCUUAAGAUCCUGUAACAGGGUACUUGUAAUUGUUUUCCCAAAGUUCCUUCUGCCUGAGCCCUUCCCUUCCUCUGCCGAAUAAAUACUCCCUGUUCAACUACU